rnacentral:rRNA from 1 species
GCUUUACUGUAUCCUGGAAUUGAGUUUGGGUUUAUUUUGCGCAGUAUAGGUGGGAGGCUAUGAAAUUAUAUUUGAGGAUAUAAAAGAGCCAUCAGUGAGAUACCACUCUAAUUAAACUAGAAUUCUAAUCUUGAAGCCGUUAUCCGGCCAAGAAACAGUUUCAGGUGGGCAGUUUGACUGGGGCGGUCGCCUCCUAAAAGGUAACGGAGGCGUGCAAAGGUUUUCUCAGGCUGGUCGGAAAUCAGUCGUAGAGUAUAAAGGCAUAAGAAAGCUUGACUGCAAGACCUACAAGUCGAGCAGAGACGAAAGUCGGCCUUAGUGAUCCGACAGUGCUGAGUGGAAAGGCUGUCGCUCAACGGAUAAAAGUUAC